GAUGAACGCUGGCGGCGUGCCUAAUACAUGCAAGUCGAGCGAACGGACGCGAAGCUUGCUUCUCUGAUGUUAGCGGCGGACGGGUGAGUAACACGUGGAUAACCUACCUAUAAGACUGGGAUAACUUCGGGAAACCGGAGCUAAUCCCGGAUAAUAUUUUGCACCGCAUGGUUCAAAAGUGAAAGACGGUCUUGCUGUCACUUAUAGAUGGAUCCGCGCUGCAUUAGCUAGUUGGUAAGGUAACGGCUUACCAAGGCAACCAUGCAUAGCCGACCUGAGAGGGGGAUCGGCCACACUGGAACGGAGACACGGACCAGACUCCUACGGGAGGCAGCAGUAGGGAAUCUUCCGCAAUGGGCGAAAGCCUGACGGAGCAACGCCGCGUGAGUGAUGAAGGUCUUCGGAUCGUAAAACUCUGUUAUUAGGGAAGAACAGAUGUGUAAGUAACUGUGCACAUCUUGACGGUACCGAAUCAGAAAGCCACGGCUAACUACGUG
rnacentral:rRNA from 1 species